UACGGGGGGAGCAAGCGUUGUUCGGAUUUACUGGGCGUAAAGGGCGCGUAGGCGGCCAGUGCAAGUCAGUUGUGAAAUCUCCGAGCUUAACUCGGAAAGGUCAACUGAUACUGCUCGGCUAGAGUGCGGAAGGGCAACUGGAAUUCUUGGUGUAGCGGUGAAAUGCGUAGAUAUCAAGAGGAACACCUGCGGCGAAGGCGGGUUGCUGGGCCGACACUGACGCUGAAGCGCGAAAGCUAGGGGAGCGAACGGG
rnacentral:rRNA from 1 species